GCGAGCAGCCAUAUCACCCUACAACUCACAACUGGGAACCCACUAAAGCUAAGCAGGUGUGAGCCUGGUCAGUACCUUGAUAGGAGACCUCCUGGGAAAAACUAAGGUUGCUGCUGGAA
rnacentral:rRNA from 1 species